rnacentral:rRNA from 1 species
AUUGAACGCUGGUGGCAGGCCUAACACAUGCAAGUCGAGCGAGCGGCGGACGGGAGAGUAAUGUCCGGGAAACUGCCUGAUGCAGGGGGAUAACUACUGGAAACGGUAGCUAAUAUCGAAUACCAUCAGAUGUGCACAGCUGGGAUUAGCUAGUAGGUGGGGCAACGGCUCACCUAGGCGACGAUCCCUAGCUGGUCUGAGAGGAUGACCAGCCACACUGGAACUCAGCCCCGCUCCCGCCUCCUACGUGCGGCCGCGGUGUGGCAUGUUGCACAUUGGGCUGAGGCCUGCUGCUGCCAUGCCGCGUGUCUGAACGGGGGUUUCCGGUUGUAAAGCACUUUCAGCGGGUAGGCGUUACCCGCCGAAGAAGCACCGGCUAACUCCGUGCCAGCAGCCGCGGUAAUAC